AUGAAAUGCCUAUUUUGGAAUAUCAGGGGUAUCACCACGUUUGGUAAAAAACCCCAUAUUAUUGAUACUUUAAAUAAAACCAAAGCAGACAUCAUUGCCUUCCAGGAAACCAAGAAAGAGGAGCUCUCUGCUGCCUUUUUGAAAUCCAUUAGUGGCAAUAGAUGCUUUGAAUGGCAUCACCUCCCUGCCUUGGGUACUGCAGGAGGGAUUUUGAUGGGAGUAGACUUAGAUAUCUUUGACAUUUUGGAGUGGGAUGCCAAGAAGUUCUCAGUGUCCUGUACCCUUACUUUAAAAUCUACUCAGAAGAAGAUUAGGGUGGUAGCUGUAUAUGGGUCCCCUUAUGAGGAAGGCAAGGAGGAGUUUAUUUCUGAACUUCACUCUCUCCUGCUAGAUAUUGACACUCCAACUCUGAUUGGUGGAGAUUUCAAUUUUACUAGGUAUCAUAGUGACAAGAACAAUGGUAAAGUAGACCAGAAAUGGUGUGAUAAAUUCAAUGCUUGGAUAGAAAUCUGGAGCCUGCUAGAAAUUAAAAUGUCUGGCAGGCAAUUUACCUGGGCCAACAACCAGGAUAACCUUGUCAUGUCCAUCAUAGAUAGAAUUUUUUGUACCACUGAGCUAGAUGAGAUUUUUCCCCUCAACUCAUCUCAGGCCCUCCCUAGGGUUUGCAGUGACCACACCCCUUUGCUUUGGGACUCAGGGGUUGGCACUGUACCCAAGGCCUCUAGCUUCAAAUUUGAGAAGUGGUGGCUCCUCAUUGACAAUUUUAAGGAGCUGGCUGCUAAAUGCUAG
rnacentral:rRNA from 1 species